rnacentral:rRNA from 1 species
GAUGAACGCUGGCGGCGUGCCUAAUACAUGCAAGUCGAACGAAACUUCUUUAUCACCGAGUGCUUGCACUCACCGAUAAAGAGUUGAGUGGCGAACGGGUGAGUAACACGUGGGCAACCUGCCCAAAAGAGGGGGAUAACACUUGGUAACAGGUGCUAAUACCGCAUAACCAUAGUUACCGCAUGGUAACUAUGUAAAAGGUGGCUAUACUACCGCUUUUGGAUGGGCCCGCGGCGCAUUAGCUAGUUUGUAGGGUAAAGGCUUACCAAGGCAAUGAUGCUUAGCAAUAGUGAGUGGUUACUGGGCAAACUGGGGCUGGAGAAAGGGCCCAAACGCCAAGGGGAGGGAGCAUGAGGGAAUCUUCCACAAGGGGAGAAAGCGUGAGGGAGCAACGCCGGGUGGGUGAAGAAGGUCUUCGGAUUGUAAAACCCUGUUGUUAGAGAAGAAAGUGGGGGGGGGUAACUGUUCACGUUUCGACGGUAUUUAACCAGAAAGCCACGGCUAACUACGU